CGCGUGGCCAGGAAGCAUGGCGGCUUCUGUCUGGGAAGAAGGGGACGAGCAGUCUCGGGCCUUUGGCUGGGGCUUUUCUUGGGCGUCUGCGGAGACCGUGGGCGCCAGACCUGCAGGCUGAAGCUUAAAAGUAACAGAUGGAUCCCUGCGGUGGGAACAGUCCCAGCCUUGGUUUCCGAGGCUGGAAAGGAUCCUGCAGAGGCAGAUGGCCCAGUCCACUGCCCUGGGCCUGAAGCGGAGACUUUUGUAUGUAAGUAGAGCCCUUCCAAAUAGACUUGGGUGGGAGGUUUGUUUGCUGCUCCUGCCCCGGGUUUAGGAUUGUGCUGGGGGCAGGGAGAUUUUAACAUGGGUUUGUUCCUUUGGCUGGAUGUCUGCAGUAUGAG